CAGCAAGGCAGAUAUUCAUAGCAUUCAGGAAGUAACAAUGGGGAAUUAAGUUGUUCAAUCAAGCGAAUGCGUAAGUUGCGUAACGAAGGAACGAAUUAAAGACGGCGUUGUUCAGACUGCUGUUAUGACAUCUAGUUGCAAAAAGAGGAGAUUUCGAGAUCCUCAAAGCGUGGAAAGAAGCAUUGACAACGUCCGAAAUGCUAUUCCACAAACAACGCGUUAUAAAAAUCGCUGGGGAGUUCGUAUAUUUGAACAUUGACAAAGUUGGUGAGAAAAUAAAGCAGUCAUGUGUGAGAGCAAUCCGUUCUGCUUAGAUUUGCAAAAUUUGGAGACAGAUUUGUGUUCAAUGACG
rnacentral:lncRNA from 1 species